UAGGGAAUCUUCGGCAAUGGACGAAAGUCUGACCGAGCAACGCCGCGUGAGUGAAGAAGGUUUUCGGAUCGUAAAACUCUGUUGUUAGAGAAGAACAAGGACGUUAGUAACUGAACGUCCCCUGACGGUAUCUAACUAGAAAGCCACGGCUAACUACGUGCCAGCAGCCGCGGUAAUACGUAGGUGGCAAGCGUUGUCCGGAUUUAUUGGGCGUAAAGCGAGCGCAGGCGGUUUCUUAAGUCGGAUGUGAAAGCCCCCGGCUCAACCGGGGAGGGUCAUUGGAAACUGGGAGACUGGAGUGCAGAAGAGGAGAGUGGAAUUCCAUGUGUAGCGGUGAAAUGCGUAGAUAUAUGGAGGAACACCAGUGGAGAAGGCGGCCCUCUGGUCUGUAACUGACGCUGAGGCUCGAAAGCGUGGGGAGCAAACAGG
rnacentral:rRNA from 1 species